GGAGGACUAGUGGUUAGGCCACAGCACUCUCAUUGCUGUGGCCCGGGUUCGAUGGCCCGGGUUCG